rnacentral:lncRNA from 1 species
CUCCUACCUGCCUUCCCAAAGGCAGUCAUGGAACCUUUGGUGGAGAGCCCCACUUCUUACCGUGAGGCAUCACUCCUAAGACCAGCACUGGGUAAGCCAGGGCACUACAACCGGUUCCUCGGCCACAGAACUUCUGGCAUUCCGAAGGCACGACACAGGCCACUUGAUCUGCAGAGAGAAAAGCAGCCUCUUCAAGAUUGUCUCUUGAGUUCCACUGGGAAUGCCCAGUCUGGGGCUGUGAGAAACACUGUAUCAAAGAGACCCCGGUUCAGCACCUGAGACACAAGGCCUUGCUAUGAGACAGAGCAACCGGAACUCCUAAAGACUGUCUUCCAAAGUUGUGGCUGGGCCUCUUGUGGGGAGGAACAUGACUCCCCACAAGAAAAUGGGAAAAUGCUUACAUCUGUU